UACAGAGGUCUCAAGCGUUUGUUCGGAAUUACUGGGCGUAAAGGGUGCGCAGGCCGCGCGGAUAGUCAAAUGUGAAAUUCAGGGGCUCAACCCCUGCAUUGCGCUUGAUACUUCCGUGCUAGAACUUUUGGAGAGGGAUCUGGAAUUUUUCGGUGUAGCAGUGAAAUGCGUGGAUAUCGAAAAGAACACUAACGGCGUAGGCAAGAUCCUGGACAAAUGUUGACGCUCAUGCACGAAGGCUAGGGUAGCGAACGGG
rnacentral:rRNA from 1 species